GUUACAGCAAAAUCUGUAACCCGGAUUGGCGUCCGGCUGAACUUGAAGGCGUACAACCGCCGAGAGCGGUUUUUUU
rnacentral:sRNA from 1 species